AUAAGCAAAGCUGCUGUACAUUUUUACAUGUAACUUUUUACAGACGUUGGAAGGUGAGCUAUGUGGCAGGGCGUGCAAACAGUAAGCAAGAUUCAAAAUGUGACAAAAGAGAAAGGGCGGAACAAUUUUGGUUAACGGUCGCGAUUAGUGCGCACGGGGGUUUUUCGUCUUUCUGAAGAGCGUGCUCUGUUGCAUUGGUAAGUCGUGUUUCAAACGUGAAGGCAGAAAAAAAAGCAGGAAAUCGGAAAUGGCUAAGAACAAAGGGGCAGGUUUCACACGUACAGACUCAGUCACUAGUGCAAUUGGAAUUUCUUCUAGAAGAAAGAAUUCUACUGUAUUGGACUGUUGACCAACAAUGAGUUCUAAGAUUUGGGACAAACCGGAUAACCCGACCUCCCAGCCAAAUAUCAUGGCUACUGGGGGGUCCACAGUUGUCUCUUCACAAUUUAGUAACUCAACAAUUAAAGGCUCUGUCACCUGCACUGUCACCACAAACAAGGAGAACAAGCCUGCUGACGCCAACCCAGAACAAGCUCAGUCUGCUGAGCAGGAAUAUAAAAUGGAACAUUAAAAAAAUGCUUUCAGAACAACAAUGUAUUACCCAGAUGGCUGGCCGCCCCCCCCCCCCCCCCCCCCCAAAUCUUAUCCUUACUCCUCCCACUCUCCACCUUAAAAAAUCUUUAUUAAAAGCGUAACUUUGUGCGACGUGUCUCUGUCAUCAUGUUCAUCAGCUUUGGGUCUGCGGCCGUCUUUCGCUUUGUCUCCACUGAGUGACACCGCUUCACUUUUGGUGUGAUUCGUAUCAAAAUGAUCAUCGCUUGUACCGAUAUGAUUGAACCCCCCCCCAUGAUGUAUAAAUACAGCUCUGGAAAAAUA